rnacentral:rRNA from 1 species
UACAGAGGUCUCAAGCGUUGUUCGGAUUCAUUGGGCGUAAAGGGCGCGUAGGCGGACAGUUUAGUCAGAGGUGAAAGCCCAGGGCUCAACCUUGGAAUUGCCUUUGAUACUGGCUGUCUUGAGUUCGGGAGAGGUGAGUGGAAUGCCGAGUGUAGAGGUGAAAUUCGUAGAUAUUCGGCGGAACACCAGUGGCGAAGGCGACUCACUGGCCCGAUACUGACGCUGAGGCGCGAAAGCGUGGGGGAGCAAACAGG